rnacentral:lncRNA from 1 species
CUAUUGUCCAAGCUGCACUCCCAGCUGUGGGCCUGGGGCAGGGCUCCCAGGGCCUGUGGGUAUCAGAGCCAGGCCUGCCCCAAACUUUCCCAGUGCGACUCCCCAGCUCCCUUCAGAGCGGGGGUAGCACUGUGGCCAGGGGUGAGCGUGGGCUUGCAGAAGCCCCAGAAACGUGUCCUGGGACAUGCAGGGCCACGCCGCUCCCCCUCAGGUAACUUCCUGUUCUCCGGCACAGGUGCAGGAAGGAGGCUCCUGCUGUGUGCUCCGGACUCGGGGUGCAGGAGGGCAGUGCAGGGGUGAGGGACGACCUGCCCUUGACCGGUGCCUGCAUCCUACGGCAGCUCAUCCCCGAGCUCCUCUGAGAGGCAGAUGGGGACACAGCCCGCUCAGGAGGGCGUGGGUCUCUGUGGCCUCCAGGGCAGAGCCCCAGACUGUAGUCGGGCCCAAGGGUCUGAACUUUCCAUCCCUGUGCGUCUCUCUGACUGACUGUGCCAUCGCUCACCAUGGUAACCAGCAGACUGAGACUGGGAUGGCACUGUCCUUGGCUCUGGACAGCAGGGGCCCCAGGCUCUGGCAGACGUCCCCACCUCCACCUGUGUCCUGAGGAAGGGGCUGUUCAUGACACACGGGUCAGGCCGGGCUGUCUAGGAGCCAGGGCUGAAAGGUCAACAGGCACAACAGAGCCGGCCCAGGAGAAGCCCUGCAUGACUCACCGAGGGCCCAUGCUGGGGGCUUCCGGCCCUGGCGACACCAGACACAGAGCCACUGUUAGCUCCGAGAGUCCUGCUCACAGCUCAAGGUGGGGUCACUCACCUCUCCUCCCUGGUGCUCUGCCCCUGAGCUCCUCCUGGAAAGUGGGGUCCGCGGGCUGCCUGGGAGUCAGUGUCAGCCCUCAGCCACUGUCCCCUCGCUGAUGCCCCGUGUGGGGCCUGCUGACCACCCUGCCGGCUUCUCCUGGCCAGCUUUGUUGUGCCAAUGCAGGACAAGGGUCUGGCCUGGGAGGCAGAAACCCGGGUUCUGGGCCAUGUUGUAAAUGUCCAAGAUUCGGAUUCCUGUGUCUUUCCAGCGGAGAAGGAGCUCGGGGAAGAUGAGGCACCAAGAGUAGACCCAGACCAGCCACGGAGUGCCCAGCUCAGCCCUGCAUGCACCGGGCUCUGCACAUGCUCCCUCCACCGCCUCUCGCCCUCUUUGCUUUGUGUGGUGCUGAGGUUUUAACCCAGCCCUUCUUUAUUUUAUUUAGGACAGGGUCUCGCUGAGUCUCUGAAUUGGCCAGGCUGGGCUCCACCUUGCAGUCCUCCUGCCUCGGCCCCCCACCCCUUCUGGCUUUAAGACAACAGGGAGAAAGGCUCUGGCCCAACAGAACAGUUCGCUAUGGGUCUCCUUCUAGCAUAGCGCACACGUCCCCGACCAGGGCAGAAAUAUACCGAAGUCACACCC